rnacentral:tRNA from 1 species
AACUAAUGAACUUGAAUAAGUAUGUAUCUUGAAAAUACAAUAAAGAGAAUUAACUCUCUAUUAGUUU